GAAGGAAUGGCUCAGUGGUUAAGAGCAGCUGUUGCUUUUGCAGAGGACCUGGGUUCAAUUCCCAGCACCCUCA
rnacentral:tRNA from 1 species